CCGCCUCCAUGUGAUGGACAUAUGUUUUGAUCAAUCAUAUCUUACACUCUUCGAGCCAUCGAGGUAUGCCCUUCUUAUGCAUUGCAAUCUGUGUGUAUCUGACGCCAUAGCUGCUGAGCGAGCGAGAGAGCAGACGAAGUACGAGAGGCGUGACAUUCUUAGAAAUAUUUUGACAUAUAUCUUAAUGAUGUCAACAAAAACAUCUUCUCGACAGCGAUGCACAAAAAAUGUUAGGCAGAACCGGAAUUGAAAGGGUGGGUACGGCCAGUGCAAGGCAGUGAUACUGUGGCUUACUGUGAUGUGGAUCGCUGCACUCUGUACGCUCACAAGAAACAUCUUAUCACGCAUUCAGAGGCUCAGAAGCAUCUUUCAAAUGCCCGGAAUGAAAAAGCAACAGGUGAACUUCAGCCAAUUAAUCAAUAUUUUACUGUCAACAUUCCUAGAGCACGCAAAGAAGCAGAAUUAAAAUUAGCGUGUUAUACAGCAGAACAUUGUUCGAUUCGAUCAGAGCUACUAUCAUCUUUAGAUCCCCAAUCUUCUAUUCUGAAGACACCUGCACUUCAUCGCACCAGGUGUACUGCUUUGAUUGUUAACAUUUUGGGUCCUGAGUUACACAAAGAGCUGCUGGCAGAUAUUGGUAACAGUAUGAGCACCAAUAUAACAUUCACACAGACACUUUCUAUUGUGAUACCCUAGUUCUUCAAAAAAGAAGAUUGUGUCAACCUUCUUUAAAUUCAUUCCAGUGGUUGAGACAGAUGCAGAAUCCCUUGUACACACUCUGUGUACUGCACUGGAAGAAGAUGGCCUGGAUCAUUGAUGUUGAUGGGGCAAGCGUAAUGAUAGGAUGCAACUAUUCACACCCUGCUUAAGGAAAAGGUCGCUUGGAAUUUUUUUUGUGUUUUGUUACUGUGACAGAGAUCGAAUGAUUCUUGGUGUUAGAUCUCCCUCUCGACCUGUGAGGACACGGUGCAAGAGGAACUGAAUACCCUUAAUUAAAUGGCACGACAAUUUAUUCCGUAGGGUAGGUGGAAGUCCAAACUCAAUGACCCUGACGGUAAACAGUGUGGCAUCUGAGGAUUGGAGGGGUCAUUAGCGAGGGUAUAAAUGGGGUAGCGUACGUGAUCUGUUCCUUUGCAUAUGGUUAAACCAAAUAACCUAGAAGGAGCCUGUCUUGUGUGUACUAAAAACCAUGAGUGUUUUGCUUGUCUCUGUAUUUACACUGUUUGUCUUGUGUGUCGUUUCUCACCAAGAAUACUGAGCACGAUCCGGAGCUGCAGCCGCAGGCCAGCGAAAAACCGGGACAUCACCACUCACCUUUCCACUACAGGAACUGUCUUUUUGCACCACUAGCACUAAAAUCACGCACUGUCGGAAUUGUGUCUGUGUUUUGUGUUUUGUGUGGGUGAAAGAACCGGACUUUGGGUUACGGGUCAAACCCAUGGGAUUAUAAUCAGAAGUGAUACACGCCGCUGUACCACUUCCAACACUAUUAUUGUUUGUAGGUUUGCCUUAAGGCUCUGGACAUUUAAUCAUUUAAAUAAACACCCUUGACCUGUACAA